CACGUAGGACGCAAGCGUUAUCCGGAGUUACUGGGCGUAAAGCGCGGGCAGGCGGUCGGUCAAGUCUGAUGUGAAAUCUCUCCGCUCAACGGGGAGCAGCCAUUGGAAACUGGUCGACUGGAGUCUGGCAGAGGUAGGCGGAAUUCCGGGUGGAGUGGUGAAAUGCGUAGAGAUCCGGAGGAACACCAGAGGCGAAGGCGGCCUACUGGGCCAGUACUGACGCUGAGCCGCGAAAGCCAGGGGAGCGAACGGG
rnacentral:rRNA from 1 species